AAAUUCCAAAUUCACUGUCUACACAGACCACAUCGCCUUAAAAUGGCUCAAAUCCAUCAAGGAUGCCACAGGUAGGUUAGGGCGAUGGUCUUUAGAACUGUCUACCUAUACAUUUGAUAUUGUUCAUCGAAGCGGCAAAGCCAACGGGAAUGCUGAUGCGCUCUCACGCAGGGAAUAUGAGAAAAAUAUUAACUGUCAGAGUCAAACAGAAGAAGAUGCUGAGAAAACAGUCUUUACAGUAACUUCACUUGGGCAAAGAAGCCAUACCAACAUUUCAGCAAGCCCACAAUUAUCCUCACAGGUCUGUCAUAUUGACUAA